GGGGGACGAACAGCUGGAAAACGGCUGCUAAUACCGAAUACGUCUUUUCAUCGCAUGGUGAGAAGAAGAAAAGGACGGCCUCUACACAAAGCGGUCGCCGAAGGAGGGGUUUUUGCGUCUGAUUAGCUAGUUGGAGGGGUAACGGCCCAACAAGGCGACGAUCAGUAGCCCGGUCCUGAGAGGAUGAACGGCCACAUUGGGACUGAGACACGGCCCAGACUCCUACGGGAGGCAGCAGUGGGGAAUCUUCCGCAAUGGACGAAAGUCUGACGGAGCAACGCCGCGUGAGUGAAGACGGUCUUCGGAUUGUAAAGCUCUGUUAUACGGGACGAACGGCAAGGUGGUAAAUAGCCAUCAUGAGUGACGGUACCGUAAGAGAAAGCCACGGCUAACUACGUGCCAGCAGCCGCGGGUAAU
rnacentral:rRNA from 1 species